CACGUAGGGGGCGAGCGUUGUCCGGAAUUACUGGGCGUAAAGGGCGCGCAGGCUGUUAUGCGAGUCUGCUGUGAAAUGUACCGGCUCAACCGGUGCCUUGCGGCGGAUACUGCAUAGCUGGAGUACUGGAGAGGGAAGUGGAAUUCCCGGUGUAGCGGUGAAAUGCGUAGAUAUCGGGAAGAACACCGGUGGCGAAGGCGACUUGCUGGGCAGCAACUGACGCUGAGGCGCGAAAGCCAGGGGAGCAAACGGGAUUAGAUACCCG
rnacentral:rRNA from 1 species